GCUGUGGCAGCAAGAAGCCGGACCUCUUCGGCCCCCUGAAGGCCAACCAGGAACCUACGGUAUGUACUGUACCCCAUCAUUUCUCUGUACAGCCAUAAAUAAAAUGUUGUCUCGGGCUAGCUAGUACCAACUCUAGUUGCUUCUUCUGCCAUUGAUUGAUUGGCUUGUUGAGUUCGUCCGGAAGCUUGGCCAGCAAUAGUGCGUUCUCUAGAUUUGGUGAUUCUCCCUUACUGCUAAAUCCUCUAUCGAGCAGUACUUGUUCAGUUGUUCUG
rnacentral:lncRNA from 1 species